rnacentral:rRNA from 1 species
GGCAGCAGCCGCGGUAACACCGGCGGCCCGAGUGGUGAUCGUGAUUAUUGGGUCUAAAGGGUCCGUAGCCGGUUUGGUCAGUCCUCCGGGAAGUCUGAUAGCUCAACUAUUAGGCUUUCGGGGGAUACUGCCAGACUUGGAACCGGGAGAGGUAAGAGGUACUACAGGGGUAGGAGUGAAAUCUUGUAAUCCCUGUGGGACCACCUGUGGCGAAGGCGUCUUACCAGAACGGGUUCGACGGUGAGGGACGAAAGCUGGGGGCACGAACCGGAUUAGAUACCCGGGUAGUCCCAGCCGUAAACGAUGCUCGCUAGGUGUCAGGCCAUGGCGCGACCGUGUCUGGUGCCGCAGGGAAGCCGUGAAGCGAGCCACCUGGGAAGUACGGCCGCAAGGCUGAAACUUAAAGGAAUUGGCGGGGGAGCACAACAACGGGUGGAGACCCUGCGGUUUAAUUGGACUCAACGCCGGACAACUCACCGGGGGCGACAGCAAUAUGUAGGCCAAGCUAGAAGACUUUGCCUGAAUCGCCUGAGUGGAGGUGCAUGG